AACGAACGCUGGCGGCAUGCCUAACACAUGCAAGUCGAACGAGACCUUCGGGUCUAGUGGCGCACGGGUGCGUAACGCGUGGGAACCUGCCCUUAGGUUCGGAAUAACUCCCCGAAAUGGGUGCUAAUACCGGAUAAUGUCUUCGGACCAAAGAUUUAUCGCCUUUGGAUGGGCCCGCGUUGGAUUAGCUAGUUGGUAGGGUAAAAGCCUACCAAGGCUACGAUCCAUAGCUGGUCUGAGAGGAUGAUCAGCCACACUGGGACUGGGACACGGCCCAGAAUCCUACGGGAAGGAGCAGUGGGGAAUAUUGGAAAAUGGGGGAAAGCCUGAUCCAGCAAUGCCGCGUGAGUGAUGAAGGCCGUAGGGUUGUAAAGCUCUUUUACCCGGGAUGAUAAUGACAGUACCGGGAGAAUAAGCUCCGGCUAACUCCGUG
rnacentral:rRNA from 1 species